UGUUGCUGUUAAGCUACUGUGUAUUUAGUUCUGGUUUUGUUUAUUUGUGUGUGUAUAGUUUAAAGUAACUGAAAAGUCAACAAGUUUAUUUGAUAAAUUAUUCACUAGAGGUCUCAUAUUUCAAAUAGCUGUGCUGUAGUUACCUAUAUUUUCAGGAAGUUUAAUGUAGGGUGGACCACAUGGACAGCUCCUUAGUGGUCAAUGAAAAAUAAGGACAUUUUCUUCAGCGUCACUAAUGAUCUGUCACAACAUCAGACGUGAGUCUCCAUAUCCUCCUCUGUAGGUUUUUCUGUGUCCUACCAAACACACAUCAGUUUUCUCACAUGACAAUCUAUGUGUGGAGUUCACUUCACUGACGGAAGAAAGUGGAAAAUAUGUCUUUGUCUUAUAUUCUUCUCAUUUAUGUUGCCGGUGUUGCGGUAAAAGAAAGUUGUGCAGAUUCGGUUCCCACUCCCACUAUUGUAUUUUCCCCUGAUUACAUCAAUGUAGCUACACCUGUUACAGUACGCUGUGAGUCACCAGAAGGCACAGAGUGCAUUUUCUACAGAGAUCAUGACCCCAAACCUAUAGAACAG